UGAUGCCCACCGCCACCGCCCGCAUUAAUUGAAGCGAGACGAGAUAAUGAUCGAGGCGACUCUCCCCGCCGGUUAGGACCACUCCGCGAGAUAGAUGCGCGCACGGGGAAACGAGGCAGCGUGUCAAAAUCCAUAUACGCACAGCAUCGAGCGGGCGAGGAAAGCGCAGGCGCAGAGGCAGCUGUCACCUUACACCCGAACGAGGAGGCAAGAGGCAUGCCGGGGCUGGCCAGGCCAUUCUCAACUUAUCUCUAGGAUCUUUGUAAACAUGUCGUGAAAUCCGAGUACCCCGACAGUGGCGUAGAGCAACGGGGGUGGUUCCUUGUUAGAACUUUCUGCCGCCCCUCUCUUGCUCACUUGCCACAUGCAGCCAAAGGACACAAAGACAAAAGUGCACAGCAGGGAGAGGAGAAACCUUUUGCCGCAUUACGAAACUCUCGCGGUGGUCCUGUUCUUUCGAGCGUUCACGACACACGCUCUCUCCCUUUCGCCUCAAAAUCUACCUCAUUUUUCUGCCAGUUCAGUGGGUUAUCUUCGUCAUUUUAUUUAAUCGCUGUUCCUCCGUGUAUGCUACGAAUAAAGAUGGAUCAAAUUCCAUGAAA